GGUUUUCCUGGCUUGAUAAUUCAUGCCUUCUAUUCAUACACUUUUUCUUUAUUUGUUUCCCACUUUUAUACAUGGGAAUUUUUUCCCUAUACACAAGCUAUCAACUGAAUUUACCUACUCAUCUCCACAGAUACCUCUGGGAAUGAUUUAUACUAUUAGAUAUAUCACAGAUGAUGACUGAUCAACUUACCUCUUACCUACUCUUUGCUGGUGCCGCCAUUGGACCUCUGGGUUUUACUGUCUCAGCUCCCGGAAAAGAUGCCUUUUACAGCCGCCCCCUACCAUGGAUACCAUCCUAUCAUCAUAAUACUAUGCUAUUAAUAGAUAUCCACAUACUGUAUAUCUGCUCCUGACGAGUGGUACAAACCACGAAACGCGUAGAGCUUCCCUACAUUGAUAUGUCACAGUACAGGCCUUAUUUUUAUCUUGCAAAUUAUUUCUAUGGAUCAACUAUCAUCAUUGUUCAUUUAUGUACUACCAAUACAGUUUCGGUUUUUACACGCCUGGUUUAAUGUCAUGUUUUAUCAUUAUGAGAUAUUUUUUACAAUUAUGUAUUGUCUAUAAUAUAUCCAGUGUAACCUACGAUUGCUAUGCAUUACCAUGUAUGCUUUUAACUAUUAGGUACUACCAUGCACUGUUUAGACUUUUACCUUUGUAAACUCAUUACUAUUUUACCUACUUAUCCCUAUUGGCGUUUGUCAUGCCCUUUCUGUAAUGAAUAAAUCUAUUUACUUCAAUUGA